rnacentral:siRNA from 1 species
ACACUUGAAAUUAACAGCCACUGU